AUUGAACGCUGGCGGCAGGCCCAACACAUGCAAGUCGAGCGAGCGGCGGACGGGUGAGUAAUGUCUGGGAAACUGCCUGAUGGAGGGGGAUAACUACUGGAAACGGUAGCUAAUACCGCAUACCAUCAGAUGUGCCCAGAUGGGAUUAGCUAGUAGGUGGGGUAAUGGCUCACCUAGGCGACGAUCCCUAGCUGGUCUGAGAGGAUGACCAGGCACAAUUGAACUGAGACACGGUCCAAACUCCUUCGGGAGGGAGCAGUGGGGAAUAUUUGACAAGGGGCGGAAGGCCUCAGCAGCCAAGGCGCGUGUAUGAAGAAGGCCUUCGGGUUGUAAAGGACUUUCAGCGGGGAGGCGGUACCCGCAGAAGAAGCACCGGCUAACUCCGUGCCAGCAGCCGCGGUAAUAC
rnacentral:rRNA from 1 species